GGAUAAUGGUAUUUAUAUUGGGACUUGAUACAAAAGUAAGCAUUUUAGAUUUGGCUCCAAACAUCUUCUAAGGAAACCACAGACAAUAAACAUGAAGCCAGUGGGCUGCAGGGGUCCAUGAUAGUGGUGUGGAGACUAGAAGGUGGACGCACAUCAGUGUGCAUAACAUUUCAAGUGACACCUGUUUCUGAUUUGACCACGUCAUUUUCCACUCUCUGUAGCACAACUGAAAGCUGAA